UGUUGAAGAAGUAGUUGCCUCUCUUGAAAGUAGCAACAUCAUAUAUUUAUGAAAUAUUGCUUGCACUUUGCACAAUCAUAUUUGAUCUAUAGUUGGUGGUGAUGAUUGGCUCUACAAGGAGUAUGAUAGGGAUCUUGAACUUUGAACCAAUUGAAGAAACAAAUAAUCUCAAAUUGCAUAACAAUGUAAACCCUUGCUCAUAAAAAUGAUGGCGAUGAAUUGGGAGAUUGUAUUGCUAAUGCACUUUGGGAUGACUAUUUUGCUUACCAUUGAGCACAAAUUAGCAUAAAAAUAUAUGAUUGGUUGUAAUUGUGAAUUCCAUGCUUCUAUUUUGUUUUGGAUAAUAAUAUUUUGUGGAUUUUAUUUUGGUCAAUAUAUAGAUAUAAGGUUAAGCUUGCCCCACGAUAUUAUAAAACUGAGAUCAUAAUCUUUAAAAUGGGCGAAAUUAGUCAUGGUUUAUGGGUUAUGGAACGGGUAUUAAAGUCUCUUAUUUACUAUUGCAUUUGUU
rnacentral:lncRNA from 1 species